rnacentral:rRNA from 1 species
UGAAACGACUGCUAUACCGCAUAAUCUCUUCGGAGCAAAGGUGGCCUCUAUUUAUAUGCUAUCGCAACAAGAUGAGCCAAGUGGGAUUAGCUAGUUGGUAAGGUAAUGGCUUACCAAGGCUUCGAUCCCUAGCUGGUCUUAGAGGAUGACCAGCCACACUGGAACUGAGACACGGUCCAGACUCCUACGGGAGGCAGCAGUGGGGAAUAUUGCACAAUGGGGGAAACCCUGAUGCAGCCAUGCCGCGUGUGUGAAGAAGGCUUUCGGGUUGUAAAGCACUUUCAGCGAGGAGGAAAGGGUGAUGGUUAAUAUCCAUCAUCUGUGACGUUACUCGCAGAAGAAGCACCGGCUAACUCCGUGCCAGCAGCCGCGGUAAUACGGAGGGUGCGAGCGUUAAUCGGAAUUACUGGCGUAAAGCGCGCGUAGGUGGUUAAUUAAGUCAGAUGUGAAAGCCCAGGGCUCAACCUUGGAACUGCAUUUGAAACUGGUUGACUAGAGUUUGUAGAGGGUGGUAGAAUUCAGGUGUAGCGGUGAAUGCGUAGAGAUCUGAAGGAAUACAGUGGCGAAGGCGGCCACCUGGACAGAGACUGACACUGAGGCGCGAAGGCGUGGGGAGCAAACGGGAUUAGAUACCCCGGUAGUCCACGCAGUAAACGAUGUCUAUUAGAAGUUUGUGGCUAUAUGCCGUGGGUUUCAAAGCUAACGCAUUAAAUAGACCGCCUGGGGAGUACGGCCGCAAGGUUAAACUCAAAUGAAUUGACGGGGGCCCGCACAAGCGGUGGAGCAUGUGGUUUAAUUCGAUGCAACGCGA